GGCUGCUUUGUUGAGCCGUCA
rnacentral:snRNA from 1 species